UACGUAGGGUGCAAGCGUUGUCCGGAAUUAUUGGGCGUAAAGAGCUCGUAGGCGGUUUGUCGCGUCUGCUGUGAAAACCCGAGGCUCAACCUCGGGCCUGCAGUGGGUACGGGCAGACUAGAGUGCGGUAGGGGAGAUUGGAACUCCUGGUGUAGCGGUGGAAUGCGUAGAGAUCGGAAAAGAACACCAACGGCGGAAACGCACUCUGCUGGGCCGACACUGACACUGGA
rnacentral:rRNA from 1 species